GCAUGUGUGUAUUUUGGGGAAGAGCCACACUCAAGGGGCCAAAGAGCCGGAUGUGGCUCGAGAACCGCAGUUGGCCGACCACGGCUACACCAUCGGCCC